rnacentral:rRNA from 1 species
AUGGCCAUACCAUGCUGAAUAUACCGGUUCUCGUUAGAUCACCGAAGUCAAGCAUCAUUGGCGCAGUUAGUACUUGGGUGGGUGACCACCUGGGAACACCGCGUACCGUU